GAUGAACGCUGGCGGCGUGCCUAAUACAUGCAAGUCGAGCGAACGGACGAGAAGCUUGCUUCUCUGAUGUUAGCGGCGGACGGGUGAGUAACACGUGGAUAACCUACCUAUAAGACUGGGAUAACUUCGGGAAACCGGAGCUAAUACCGGAUAAUAUUUUGAACCGCAUGGUUCAAAAGUGAAAGACGGUCUUGCUGUCACUUAUAGAUGGAUCCGCGCUGCAUUAGCUAGUUGGUAAGGUAACGGCUUACCAAGGCAACGAUGCAUAGCCGACCUGAGAGGGUGAUCAGCCACACUGGAACUGAGACACGGUCCAGACUCCUACGGGAGGCAGCAGUAGGGAAUCUUCCGCAAUGGGCGAAAGCCUGACGGAGCAACGCCGCGUGAGUGAUGAAGGUCUUCGGAUCGUAAAACUCUGUUAUUAGGGAAGAACAUAUGUGUAAGUAACUGUGCACAUCUUGACGGUACCCAAUCAGAAAGCCACGGCUAACUACGUG
rnacentral:rRNA from 1 species